rnacentral:rRNA from 1 species
AAUGAACGUUGGCGGCGUGGAUUAGGCAUGCAAGUCGAGCGAGAACCCGCAAGGGGGACAGCGGCAAACGGGGUAGGAAUGAUUGGUGACGUACCCUCGGGACGGGGAUAGCCACGGGCAACUGUGGGUAAUACCCGAUAAUCUCCAAGGUUUGAAGACCUGGGUGCAAAGGUUUGAUUCCACCGGAGGAGCGGCCAAUCUGGUAUUAGCUAGUUGGUAGGGUAACGGCCUACCAAGGCUACGAUGCCUAGGGGGUGUGAGAGCAUGGCCCCCACCACUGGGACUGAGAUACUGCCCAGACACCUACGGGUGGCUGCAGUCGAGAAUCUUCGGCAAUGGGCGAAAGCCUGACCGAGCGACGCCGCGUGCGGGAUGAAGGCCUUCGGGUUGUAAACCGCUGUCAGAGGGGAUGAAGUUCUAGGAGGUUCUCCUUCUAGAUUGACAGAGCCUCAGAGGAAGCACGGGCUAAGUAUGUGCCAGCCGCCGCAGUAACAC